UUUUAGGCAAAGUCUCCUGUAAACCUUUUUUGGCUACGAUUCAAUACGCCGACAAUUAUUUGAACCUAGUUUACAUAGCCUGAUUGUAUUGGCCUUAUGAUUUACUCCUCGUGUUUCGUUAUCUCACCUGAUGACAAGCCCAAAACCGCAAAUGGCUCGUCGCA